AGUCGAGCGAGCGGAACCAACAGAUUUACUUCGGUAAUGACGUUGGGAAAGCGAGCGGCGGAUGGGUGAGUAACACGUGGGGAACCUGCCCCUAAGUCUGGGAUACCAUUUGGAAACAGGUGCUAAUACCGGAUAAUAAAGCAGAUCGCAUGAUCAGCUUUUGAAAGGCGGCGUAAGCUGUCGCUAAGGGAUGGCCCCGCGGUGCAUUAGCUAGUUGGUAAGGUAACGGCUUACCAAGGCGACGAUGCAUAGCCGAGUUGAGAGACUGAUCGGCCACAUUGGGACUGAGACACGGCCCAAACUCCUACGGGAGGCAGCAGUAGGGAAUCUUCCACAAUGGACGCAAGUCUGAUGGAGCAACGCCGCGUGANNGAAGAAGGCUUUCGGAUCGUAAAGCUCUGUUGUUGGUGAAGAAGGAUAGAGGUAGUAACUGGCCUUUAUUUGACGGUAAUCAACCAGAAAGUCACGGCUAACUAC
rnacentral:rRNA from 1 species